GUAGGGCGCGAGCGUUGUCCGGAAUUAUUGGGCGUAAAGAGCUCGUAGGCGGCUGGUCGCGUCUGUCGUGAAAUCCUCUGGCUUAACUGGGGGCUUGCGGUGGGUACGGGCCGGCUUGAGUGCGGUAGGGGAGGCUGGAACUCCUGGUGUAGCGGUGGAAUGCGCAGAUAUCAGGAAGAACACCGGUGGCGAAGGCGGGUCUCUGGGCCGUUACUGACGCUGAGGAGCGAAAGCGUGGGGAGCGAACAGGAUUAGAUACCCUGGUAGUCCACGCCGUAAACGUUGGGCACUAGGUGUGGGGGGCCUUUUCCGGGUUUUCCGCGCCGUAGCUAACGCAUUAAGUGCCCCGCCUGGGGAGUACGGCCGCAAGGCUAAA
rnacentral:rRNA from 1 species